rnacentral:rRNA from 1 species
AUUGAACGCUGGCGGCAUGCCUAACACAUGCAAGUCGAACGAGUGGCGGACGGGUGAGUAAUGUCUGGGAAACUGCCCGACGGAGGGGGUUAACUACUGGAAACGGUAGCUAAUACCGCAUACCAUCGGAUGUGCCCAGAUGGGAUUAGCCAGUAGGUGGGGUAACGGGUCGCCUAGGCGACGAGCCCUAGCUGGUCUGAGAGGAUGACCAGGCACACUGGACCGAAGACACGGUCCAGACUCCUACGGAGGACAGCAGUGGGGAAUGUUGCACAGUGGGCGCAAGCCGGAUGCAGCCAUGCCGCGUGUAUGACGAAGGCGUUCGGGUUGUAAAGUACUUUCAGCGAGGAGGCGUUACUCGCAGAAGAAGCGCCGGCUAACUCCGUGCCAGCAGCCGCGGUAAUAC